rnacentral:pre_miRNA from 1 species
CAACUACUCCCUCUGUCCCAAAUUUCUUGUCUUAGAUUUGUCUAGAUACGGAUGUAUCUAAUACUAAAAUGUGACUUGAUACAUCCGUAUCAAGACAAAUCUAAGACAAGAAUUUUUGGAUGGAGGGAGUACUUU